UCCCAGGUGGCUAAGUGGUGAAGAAUCUACCUGUCAAGCAGAAGAUGCAGGUUCAAUCCCUGGGUUGGGAA
rnacentral:tRNA from 1 species